AACGACAAACGGCAACCGUCAAUAUUUGCUUUCAAGAAUGGACCAUUAAAGGCAGUACAUGAACCCUUUUUAGGGCUUCAUUUAGCAUAAAUACCAAUUAGUUGGUUCGAAGCCGUUUGCUUGUUGGCGAAGGAUGAAGGUGAAAGUGGAUUUCUACUGUCUUAAAACGACAAGAGUCUUCAAAAGGUCGAGGCGAUUUCAUGAGAAUAUUGUUUGAGGAGCUUUUAAACUGCAGCUGUUAGCUUCAACUAAUCUAUGUGUAUAAAAUGAAGAUGCCAAGAGAGUUACCUAAUGAGACUAAUAAAUCAUAAUUAAAUUACAAUGCAUCA